GUGGGGAAUAUUGGACAAUGGGGGGAACCCUGAUCCAGCCAUGCCGCGUGUGUGAAGAAGGCCUUUUGGUUGUAAAGCACUUUAAGCGAGGAGGAGGCUACCGAGAUUAAUACUCUUGGAUAGUGGACGUUACUCGCAGAAUAAGCACCGGCUAACUCUGUGCCAGCAGCCGCGGUAAUACAGAGGGUACAAGCGUUAAUCGGAUUUACUGGGCGUAAAGCGCGCGUAGGUGGCCAAUUAAGUCAAAUGUGAAAUCCCCGAGCUUAACUUGGGAAUUGCAUUCGAUACUGGUUGGCUAGAGUAUGGGAGAGGAUGGUAGAAUUCCAGGUGUAGCGGUGAAAUGCGUAGAGAUCUGGAGGAAUACCGAUGGCGAAGGCAGCCAUCUGGCCUAAUACUGACACUGAGGUGCGAAAGCAUGGGGAGCAAACAGGAUUAGAUACCCUGGUAGUCC
rnacentral:rRNA from 1 species